rnacentral:rRNA from 1 species
GGGUUGUGAGGUUAAGCGACUAAGCGUACACGGUGGAUGCCCUGGCAGUCAGAGGCGAUGAAGGACGUGCUAAUCUGCGAUAAGCGUCGGUAAGGUGAUAUGAACCGUUAUAACCGGCGAUUUCCGAAUGGGGAAACCCAGUGUGUUUCGACACACUAUCAUUAACUGAAUCCAUAGGUUAAUGAGGCGAACCGGGGGAACUGAAACAUCUAAGUACCCCGAGGAAAAGAAAUCAACCGAGAUUCCCCCAGUAGCGGCGAGCGAACGGGGAGCAGCCCAGAGCCUGAAUCAGUAUGUGUGUUAGUGGAAGCGUCUGGAAAGGCGCGCGAUACAGGGUGACAGCCCCGUACACAAAAAUGCACAUGCUGUGAGCUCGAUGAGUAGGGCGGGACACGUGGUAUCCUGUCUGAAUAUGGGGGGACCAUCCUCCAAGGCUAAAUACUCCUGACUGACCGAUAGUGAACCAGUACCGUGAGGGAAAGGCGAAAAGAACCCCGGCGAGGGGAGUGAAAAAGAACCUGAAACCGUGUACGUACAAGCAGUGGGAGCACGCUUAGGCGUGUGACUGCGUACCUUUUGUAUAAUGGGUCAGCGACUUAUAUUCUGUAGCAAGGUUAACCGAAUAGGGGAGCCGAAGGGAAACCGAGUCUUAACUGGGCGUUAAGUUGCAGGGUAUAGACCCGAAACCCGGUGAUCUAGCCAUGGGCAGGUUGAAGGUUGGGUAACACUAACUGGAGGACCGAACCGACUAAUGUUGAAAAAUUAGCGGAUGACUUGUGGCUGGGGGUGAAAGGCCAAUCAAACCGGGAGAUAGCUGGUUCUCCCCGAAAGCUAUUUAGGUAGCGCCUCGUGAAUUCAUCUCCGGGGGUAGAGCACUGUUUCGGCAAGGGGGUCAUCCCGACUUACCAACCCGAUGCAAACUGCGAAUACCGGAGAAUGUUAUCACGGGAGACACACGGCGGGUGCUAACGUCCGUCGUGAAGAGGGAAACAACCCAGACCGCCAGCUAAGGUCCCAAAGUCAUGGUUAAGUGGGAAACGAUGUGGGAAGGCCCAGACAGCCAGGAUGUUGGCUUAGAAGCAGCCAUCAUUUAAAGAAAGCGUAAUAGCUCACUGGUCGAGUCGGCCUGCGCGGAAGAUGUAACGGGGCUAAACCAUGCACCGAAGCUGCGGCAGCGACACUAUGUGUUGUUGGGUAGGGGAGCGUUCUGUAAGCCUGUGAAGGUGUGCUGUGAGGCAUGCUGGAGGUAUCAGAAGUGCGAAUGCUGACAUAAGUAACGAUAAAGCGGGUGAAAAGCCCGCUCGCCGGAAGACCAAGGGUUCCUGUCCAACGUUAAUCGGGGCAGGGUGAGUCGACCCCUAAGGCGAGGCCGAAAGGCGUAGUCGAUGGGAAACAGGUUAAUAUUCCUGUACUUGGUGUUACUGCGAAGGGGGGACGGAGAAGGCUAUGUUGGCCGGGCGACGGUUGUCCCGGUUUAAGCGUGUAGGCUGGUUUUCCAGGCAAAUCCGGAAAAUCAAGGCUGAGGCGUGAUGACGAGGCACUACGGUGCUGAAGCAACAAAUGCCCUGCUUCCAGGAAAAGCCUCUAAGCAUCAGGUAACAUCAAAUCGUACCCCAAACCGACACAGGUGGUCAGGUAGAGAAUACCAAGGCGCUUGAGAGAACUCGGGUGAAGGAACUAGGCAAAAUGGUGCCGUAACUUCGGGAGAAGGCACGCUGAUAUGUAGGUGAAGUCCCUCGCGGAUGGAGCUGAAAUCAGUCGAAGAUACCAGCUGGCUGCAACUGUUUAUUAAAAACACAGCACUGUGCAAACACGAAAGUGGACGUAUACGGUGUGACGCCUGCCCGGUGCCGGAAGGUUAAUUGAUGGGGUUAGCCGCAAGGCGAAGCUCUUGAUCGAAGCCCCGGUAAACGGCGGCCGUAACUAUAACGGUCCUAAGGUAGCGAAAUUCCUUGUCGGGUAAGUUCCGACCUGCACGAAUGGCGUAAUGAUGGCCAGGCUGUCUCCACCCGAGACUCAGUGAAAUUGAACUCGCUGUGAAGAUGCAGUGUACCCGCGGCAAGACGGAAAGACCCCGUGAACCUUUACUAUAGCUUGACACUGAACAUUGAGCCUUGAUGUGUAGGAUAGGUGGGAGGCUUAGAAGUGUGGACGCCAGUCUGCAUGGAGCCGACCUUGAAAUACCACCCUUUAAUGUUUGAUGUUCUAACGUUGACCCGUAAUCCGGGUUGCGGACAGUGUCUGGUGGGUAGUUUGACUGGGGCGGUCUCCUCCUAAAGAGUAACGGAGGAGCACGAAGGUUGGCUAAUCCUGGUCGGACAUCAGGAGGUUAGUGCAAUGGCAUAAGCCAGCUUGACUGCGAGCGUGACGGCGCGAGCAGGUGCGAAAGCAGGUCAUAGUGAUCCGGUGGUUCUGAAUGGAAGGGCCAUCGCUCAACGGAUAAAAGGUACUCCGGGGAUAACAGGCUGAUACCGCCCAAGAGUUCAUAUCGACGGCGGUGUUUGGCACCUCGAUGUCGGCUCAUCACAUCCUGGGGCUGAAGUAGGUCCCAAGGGUAUGGCUGUUCGCCAUUUAAAGUGGUACGCGAGCUGGGUUUAGAACGUCGUGAGACAGUUCGGUCCCUAUCUGCCGUGGGCGCUGGAGAACUGAGGGGGGCUGCUCCUAGUACGAGAGGACCGGAGUGGACGCAUCACUGGUGUUCGGGUUGUCAUGCCAAUGGCACUGCCCGGUAGCUAAAUGCGGAAGAGAUAAGUGCUGAAAGCAUCUAAGCACGAAACUUGCCCCGAGAUGAGUUCUCCCUGACCCUUUAAGGGUCCUGAAGGAACGUUGAAGACGACGACGUUGAUAGGCCGGGUGUGUAAGCGCAGCGAUGCGUUGAGCUAACCGGUACUAAUGAACCGUGAGGCUUAACCUUACAACGCCGAAG